ensembl:lncRNA
AGGAAAUUGCUCUGGAGGCUAUGGAUCAUCACUGGGCAGUGGCAUUCUCCUCCUCCCAGCCCUGUCAUGGGUGAGAUGUGACAGGACCCCAGGUUCACAGCCUCCCACCCCCUGCUCCAGCCCAGGAGGAGUUUCUCUCCUGACCCUGUCCUCCUAUCCCCCCACCCACAGAGAGUCUAGACCUAGGUUGGCAGUGGUGCAGGGGACUCACAGUGGUGGGCAGGCCUAAAUGUUCUUGUGCUGAACUCGGUGUCUCAGAGUGCCUGGUGGCCAGGCUGAGGGAGACCUGCCCUGGGCUUCUUCUCAUAUCAGGCCCUGAGGACCCUGAGUGUUGUGAGACAUGCCCUGUGCUGCCCAUUGAGGCUGGGUUGUUCUGGCCAGUGGCCUGAAGCACGUGGACUUAGUCAUCCAUCCUCUCACUUGUUCCCAAGUGCUUUCCCUGUGUGGUGUCUUGAGGCUGCAGCCUUGAGGCCUGGGAAACAGCACAAUAUGUUCACUGCAGACUGUCUCCUGCCAAGUGACUGUUAGGCAGCCUUUGUGAGACUGCGGUGCCCCAUUACUGCAGGGUUCCAAGUUCUGUUGGGACCUGUCACCAUGGAAGUGAAGUCAUGUGCUGGGGUCCAUAAGAUGAGCCUCCUGGUCUGGUCUUUUUCAGGCAGUAAACCAUAGUGGGAUUCCCAUGUGCUGCUUCUUGUCAGUGGUGAAGCCCUCACAGCCCAUUGUGUGAGUGGGGCAGGAAUCGCUCCUCAUCUGUCUGCCAAUGACUACGUGUUUUGUUUCCAGUGUUGAUGGAAAAUUGCAAGAAGCAUGGUAUCUACACAAAAAGGCAGAAUGAAAAGCUAAGAAGAUAGAAGAUUGCCUACAAAAAGUACUUUAAGGCAACAUAUAAGUUGAGUAUUUAUUACAAAGAUGAAUUCUACAACUUAAGAAUGAUAUCAGUUAUGAUAACAAAUACAUGUGAAGUUACUAUACUUGAAAUCCAUAAUGCAGGC